CCUACGGGGGGCAGCAGUGAGGAAUAUUGGUCAAUGGGCUUACGCCUGAACCAGCCAAGUCGCGUGAGGGAAGACUGCCCUAUGGGUUGUAAACCUCUUUUGUCAGGGAGCAACGCCGGCUACGUGUAGCCGGACUGAGAGUACCUGAAGAAAAAGCAUCGGCUAACUCCGUGCCAGCAGCCGCGGUAAUACGGAGGAUGCGAGCGUUAUCCGGAUUUAUUGGGUUUAAAGGGUGCGUAGGCGGAUUUUUAAGUCAGCGGUAAAAUGUCCGGGCUCAACCCGGGCCGGCCGUUGAAACUGGGGAUCUUGAGUGGGCGAGAAGUAUGCGGAAUGCGUGGUGUAGCGGUGAAAUGCAUAGAUAUCGCGCAGAACUCCGAUUGCGAAGGCAGCAUGCCGGCUCCACACUGACGCUGAGGCACGAAAGCGUGGGUAUCGAACAGGAUUAGAUACCCCUGUAGUC
rnacentral:rRNA from 1 species